GUGGGAACAUACCCUUUCCUGCGGAAUAGCUCCGGGAAACUGGAAUUAAUACCGCAUACGCCCUACGGGGGAAAGAUUUAUCGGGGAAGGAUUGNCCCGCGUUGGAUUAGCYAGUUGGUGGGGUAAAGGCCUACCAAGGNGACGAUCCAUAGCUGGUCUGAGAGGAUGAUCAGCCACAUUGGGACUGAGACACGGCCCAAACUCCUA
rnacentral:rRNA from 1 species